GUGCAGCAGGCGCGAAUCUUGGUCAAUGGGCGAAAGCCUGAACCAGCGACGCCAAAGACCGAUGACAGCAUCUGUUGUAAAGGUCGGAACUUCAUGAGGAGAAUGACGGUAAUGAAGGAGAAGUCUCGUCUAAUGAUUGUGCCAGCAGAAGCGGUCAUACAACGGAGGCAAGUGUUGUUCGUCAUGACUCGGUGUAAAGGGCAGGUAGGCGGUGAUCUGAUUGACUUGGCUGAAAACGACCUGUUAGCGGGUCAUGAAGGCCAAGUAACAAGGUCGCUUGAGUCUGAGAGAGGGAUUCGGAAUGGCUUCGGGACUAGUGAAAUGGGAUGAUCGAAGUUGGAACUCCGGAAGUGAAGACGGAAUCCUGGAUCAGAGAGUUCUUCAAUCAAAAUUUGGAAGAAGUUCAAUGUGAAUUGAAAGACUUCCAAAAGAAAGAACUCGAAACUGACGUUGAACUGCGAAAGCAUAGGGAUCAAAAGGGAUUAGAUACCCCCGUAGUCC
rnacentral:rRNA from 1 species